rnacentral:rRNA from 1 species
UACGUAGGGGGCUAGCGUUGUCCGGAUUUAUUGGGCGUAAAGAGCGUGUAGGCGGCCAGGGUAGGUCUGCUGUGAAAACUCGAGGCUACAACCUCGAGACGUCGGCCGGAAACCAUCUGGCGUAGAGUCCGGAAGAGGAGAGUCGGAAUUCCGUGGUGUAGCGGUGAAAUGCGCAAGAGUAUCAGGAAGAACACCCGUGGCGGAAGGCGGCUCUCUGGGACGGUACUGACGCUGAGACGCGAAAGCGUGGGGAGCGAACACGG